GACGAACGCUGGCGGCGUGCUUAACACAUGCAAGUCGAGCGGUAAGGCCCUUUCGGGGGUACACGAGCGGCGAACGGGUGAGUGACACGUGGGUGACCUGCCCUCAGCUCUGGGAUAAGCCUGGGAAACCGGGUCUAAUACUGGAUAUGACUCCAUGACGCAUGUUGUGGGGUGGAAAGCCUUGUGCGGCUGAGGAUGGGGCCCGCGGCCUAUCAGCUUGUUGGGGGGUG
rnacentral:rRNA from 1 species